GCAGUUUACAAAUGGAUAACUCAGUUUAAGAAGGGAUGAGACGAUAUUAAAGAUGAAGCCCACAGUGACAGACUGUUCACAUCAAUUUGUGAGGAAAAAAAUCAUCUUCUUCAUGCCCUAACUGAAGAAGAUCAAUGAUUAACAGCAGAAACAAUAGCCAACACCAUAGACACCUCAAUUGAUUCAGGUUACACAAUUCUGACUGAAAAAUUAAAGUUGAGUAAACGUUCUACUUGAUGGAUGCCCAAAAUCAUUGCUUCCAGAUCAGCUGCAGACAACAGCAGAACUUCCUCAAUAAGUGGGAUCAAGUUCCUAAAGCAUUUCUUCAAAGAAUUGUAACAGGAGGUGAUGGAAUGUGGCUUUACCAGUACAAUCCUGAAGACAAAGCACAAUGAAAGCAAUGGCUAACAAGUGGUGGAAGUGGUCCAGUCAAAGCAAAAGCAGACCAGAUAAGAGCAAAGGUCAUGGCAACAGUUGUUUGGGAUGCUCAAGGCAUUUUGCUUGCUGACUUUCUGGAGGGCCAAAGGAAGGUAACAACUGCUUAUUAUGAGAGUGUUCUGAGAAAGCUAGCCAAAGCAUUAGCAGAAAAAUGCCCAGGAAAGCUUCACCAGAGAGUCCUUUUCCACCACAACAAUGUUCCUGCUCAUUCCUCUCAUCAAACAAGGGCCAUUUGCAAGAGUUUCGAUGGGAAAUCAUUAGGCAUCCACCUUACAGUCCUGAUUUGGCUCCUCCUGUCUUCUAGUUUCUUAAUCUUAAAAAAAUCUUUAAAGGGCACCCAUUUUUAUGCUAACAAUGUAAAAAAGACUACACUGACAUGGUUAAAUUCCCAGGACCCUCAGUUCUUUAGGACUGAACUAAAUUGCUGGUAUCACUGCUCAGAAGAGUCUUGAACUUGAUGGAGCUUAUGUUGAGAAAUACAGUUUAUUUAAAAUUUUUAUCUUUUAAUUCCAUUUUUCCAUGAACUUUCUGAAGUCUCCUUGUAUGCAAGAACUAAAGUUUAUCAAUAUAACAUACCAUUUCAUGACAAUAAAUUAUUUUACAACAAUUAAACAGGUAAGCAUGAAAUAAGAGAUUUCUAUUACAUCUCCAAAUGUUGCAACUUACUUCAAUUUGGCAAGUCUGUCCCUGGUCUGAUUAAUUUCUUUUGAUUUACUAUGUAGCCAGUCUUCAAGCUGUUUUUUGUUGGGAAAAUAUCCCAACAGUGAGGUUAAUUCAUCACUGUGCCUAGAUUUUAUUUUUCUGAUUUGUUCAUCUUUGUCAGCCUAUAGGUAAAAAAAAAAAAUCUUUUAAAAAUAAAGUCUAUAUCUCCACAUAUAUCAAGAACAAAAAUAAAUCCUAGACUGACUAAAGUUCUAAGCUUAAAACUAUAAAAAUAUGAAAAUAAAAUAUAAAAUUUCUUAAAGUUCUUAAAGUCUUCAAGUGGGGAUGGUCUUUCUAAGCCUUAAGAGUGGAGUACCAAGUCGAACAAUAUAAAAUUUUAAAACUUGUGUAUGUUAAAAGUUAACAGUAAUGUGCAUGUGUGUAUAUACAUAUAUAUACAUUUCUGUAUUAACUUUUUGUAAUUAAACAAUAACUUUUAAGCUUGAAAGUCUAUUAUAUAGAGUACUAAGCUCACUUAGCCUCUAAAAUAUAGUCAAUACCAACUUAAUACCUUAUAGUCUAUGACUUAUGAGUGCAAGGUAGGCUAUUUUAAGUACCAGACAGUAUAAUUAGAACAAAAAGAAAAAUCAUACUUUGUCUUUGGUCAGCAUCUCCAUUUGGGUACGUGUUGUUGUAUGAUGGUUUAACUGCUCCAUCUCCUGGUCAAGUUUACGCAGGGUCCUGUCUAAGUCUGCUUUUUCAUUUUGGAGACUUAUUACUUCCAUUUUUAAGGUUUCUACAUUGCUGUUUUUCUCAGCCUUGCUUAACUCACGUUCCUAGUCAAUAAUUCAUACAAAUGCAAAGGUGUUAUAUAUUUUGUGCAAGAAUUAAAAUAAUGACAAAGUGUAUUAGAAAUUAACUACUCCUCAGAAUGUUCCAAAUAUUACUGUUUGUAUCCAACAAGAGAAAAAAACAUAAGGCACUAUAUAUGCUCUAAGGUAUAUCUUAUUAAAGUGAUCUUACUAUGUUAUAAUGGUGGAGAAUUAGUAAAUAAACCUAGAAGGGUCAAACAGGAAAGAAAUGUGAGAAUUAGUGUAAAAUUAGGAGACAUGUGUCUAAGUACACAGAUUAGUGAGUCCUCAGUCAACAAUUAAAUAUUUAUUAUGUCCCCAUGUAAUUCACUAUAUUGCCUGGUAUGUAGAAACUAUAAAAAUAGUGUGAUGUGGUCCCUGACCAAGUAUCUCCCCACUCCAACAAGACAACACUGAUGAAGUGCUAAACUGACAAAAAUGUAUGCUACAAUGGUGAGUUAUGGAGCAAAAAUCUUGGCUCACUGCAACCUCUGCCUCCCAGGUUCAAGCGAUUCUCCUGCCCUGGCCUCCCAAGUAGCUGGGAUUACAGGCACAUGCCACCACGCCCAGCUAAUUUUUGUAUUUUUAGNNNNNNNNNNNNNNNNNNNNNNNNNNNNNNNNNNNNNNNNNNNNNNNNNNNNNNNNNNNNNNNNNNNNNNNNNNNNNNNNNNNNGCUGAGAUUACAGGUGUGAGACACCGCACCCGGCCUGGUAAGUGUUCUUAAUCAAGGUGCUCAUAAGAAUUA
rnacentral:lncRNA from 1 species